rnacentral:rRNA from 1 species
AGAUUGAACGCUGGCGGCGUGCCUAACACAUGCAAGUCGAGCGGUAACAGGUGUAGCAAUACAUGCUGACGAGCGGCGAACGGGUGAGUAAUGCUUUGGAAUCUUCCCAGUAGUGGGGAAUAACCAGUCGAAAGAUUGGCUAAUACCGCAUAAGUCUGUAAAGGGAAAGCGGGGGCUCGUAAGACCUCGCGCUAUUGGAUGAGCCAAAGUCGGAUUAGCUAGUUGGUGGGGUAAUGGCCUACCAAGGCGACAAUCCGUAGCUGGUCUGAGAGGACGACCAGCCACACCGGAACUGAGACACGGUCCGGACUCCUACGGGAGGCAGCAGUGGGGAAUAUUGGACAAUGGGGGAAACCCUGAUCCAGCGACGCCGCGUGUGUGAAGAAGGCCUGCGGGUUGUAAAGCACUUUUAGUGGGGACAAAAGCUAACGGACUAAUAUUCUGUGGUCUUGAUUUAACCCAAAGAAAAGCACCGGCUAACUCUGCGCCAGCAGCCGCGGU